AUCAGGUUUCUGGUCGCAGUAGGAGAGGACGAGCGUCCCCCUUUCUCGUGGACCCAGAGCAGAAUGAAUGCGGAAAAUGCGGUAGACUUGGCCACAACUCACGUACAUGCAUUUGGACACUUAGUCAGGAUGGCGCAGUUCCACUUGCUGGACCCUCACUACGACGAGCACCACAGGGGCCGUCUCACCGCAGAGGGAGAGGUGUUGCCCGUUCUGCGGGUCCGGACCCAUGACCUGUUUC